rnacentral:rRNA from 1 species
UACGGAGGGGGCAAGCGUUAUUCGGAAUUAUUGGGCGUAAAGAGCUCGUAGGCGGUCUGUCGCGUCGGCUGUGAAAACUCGGGGCUCAACCCCGAGCCUGCAGUCGAUACGGGCAGACUAGAGUGCUGUAGGGGAGACUGGAAUUCCUGGUGUAGCGGUGAAAUGCGCAGAUAUCAGGAGGAACACCGGUGGCGAAGGCGGGUCUCUGGGCAGUAACUGACGCUGAGGAGCGAAAGCGUGGGGAGCGAACAGG